CGCAGGGCGCCGCGCCGGGGCCUUAAAAUACGUGGUGUCAGUCUUCCCACGGGCAGAGCCCCUCUGCCCCCCUUGCACGUGGGCCCUCUGAAGCCCCCACCCCUGCUGCACAAACUGCGGGUGUUCACAGCUGCCCCCACCCUGCACGUCUGCUCAUCAGCGAUGGCAGUGUGGUCUGCGCUGAAGCACUCUGGGACCAUGUCACCAUGGACGACCAGGAGCUGGG
rnacentral:lncRNA from 1 species